rnacentral:snRNA from 1 species
UGACUCUAUAACUUCUAUAC